rnacentral:lncRNA from 1 species
GCGCGGAGUUUGCUAGGUGCCGAGAUUUGAAUGUAAAGACGACAGUGCUGGUUGUCUCUUGACUUUCUGUGCGUGGAGCAGUGCGGGACUGAUCUGGACCGUCGAUUUUAGCCAGAUGAUCGUUUCCUCCGGGUCCCGCUCUCGCCAGGUAGUGUUAGCAAUAGUUAGAGGAUAGCCGUCAGUCACGACUCAUGAGGACGACAUGCCGUUUAAACAGUAGCUAACACUAUAAUCUCACAGAUGAUCUUAUCAUUCAGAUCCCUGAUCUAUUUCUUUUUUAUAAAUUAUAAUCAAAGCACAUAUAGCUUGUCUAAUUGUAUUAAAUAAAUCUGUACGGUUAAUUUUCCACAAAUACCUUUACCGCAUCAUCUUAUAUGUUUUGAACUGAUUACUGAUUAAUAUGUAUUCCGGUGAUUAUAAGAAAUUCAACAAUAUGAUAGGAAUUUCAAGUAAAAUUACAUGCUACAAACUUAGAAUAUAAAGUUUACAUAUUUUAUGAUUAACAACAAAAGCCUAACUGAUAAAUAUCAGGUGAUAAUCAUAUGAUACAGAAUAAUUACAAUAAAUACACCAUUAAUUAGGAUAUAUGCGUGGGUAGAUGAGAUACUCCACCUUGUGUUUGAAGGUUAGUGACUUACCAUCUAAAAAAGGAUUCGAAUAGCAAAUAUUCUUUUACGGAUGCUCGUUGUUGCUUACGACAACAACCAGCUUAAACUUCAUCUGAAAGUUCACAAAUGUUAGGCAACAAAUCAAAAUUAGCUAAUAAAAACACAUAUUACAAAGGACAAUGCGCAUUCAUACAGUUUGGAUUUGGCUCAGAGAACUUUCUUUUAGGUCACGUGGGCAUCAAUUAAGUAUGUCACUCAUCAAUCGGUUAAGUUCUACCAUAUGACAAAUAUGUCCCAUGACGCAAAAACAGCACACAAAAAGCUAGUUUGAUCCAACAACUUUAUUCCCCCCUUUCAACUCUUUUUUUUUUUUUUUGGUUUUUGUUUUCGUCCAGAAACAAAAAUAAAAUAAAAAUAAAGUCCAAAGAUUCAACUUGUCACUCUCAAAACCCUCGAUCGCUAAGCCCAAUACUUUACCACUUCAAUGGCCUCUCACAAUCACCACCACCACCAUCACCAUCACCAGCAGCAGCUGAACUGCGCUGGAGGCACCACCAACUGUUGCUGCAGCAGCUGUUGCAGCCACCCUUCUCCUCAGCCAACGGAGCCACUUCUCCAAGCCAUUGCCUCUCAACUCUUCCAACAACAACAGCACCAGCAACAGCCAGGUUGUAAGCAUACUUUAUCUUUUGUCCAUUUGUCCAAGUCUUGAUCGGUGGGCUUGGCUUUCUAAAAAGGUGUGCUACAGGUCAUGAUCACUUGAGAAGUCAUGAUCUAUGUUGUCGUAUCUUUACUUUUGCUUUAAAAAAGAUAGGGGUCCUGUCCUAUCUUCACUAAGAAUUCUCCUAUAUAAAGGAUUCUCCCCUGUUUGUAAGAGAUAGAAGUUUGAAGCAAUAAACCUGCUGUACGGCCAAGGCGGAUGUGCGGUACAGCAGAUUAUUUUACAAAAAGUUUUAUCUUUUUUUUUCCCCUCAAGCAGCAACACGCUUAUUAACAAAAUGAGAGAGAAAAAAAUUGAAUUACUUCAUCUAUCAUAGUUUCUACAACUCAGCCAUAAAAUUUUCAUAUAUUGUUUUUAAUUUUUUAAAUAUCGUCGAACACGGCUCUCAUCACAGCAAUAAGGAUUCAAAUUUUUUUUUUUUGGGUAAUUUCAGAAUCUUUACAAACCCUGGAUCUCAAACAUCAAAUCUAUUCAACCAAUAAACGAGCGAUUGGGUGCGAGAGGACUCACCGCAACGUGUCCGGCGUGGCGUUUGGCUUUGGGAGAGGAGGAGAACGACACGAGACGACGCGCGGAGUUUGCUAGGUGCCGAGAUUUGAAUGUAAAGACGACAGUGCUGGUUGUCUCUUGACUUUCUGUGCGUGGAGCACUGCGGGACUGAUCUGGACCGUCGAUUUUAGCCAGAUGAUCGUUUCCUCCGGGUCCCGCUCUCGCCAGGUAGUGUUAGCAAUAGUUAGAGGAUAGCCGUCAGUCACGACUCAUGAGGACGACAUGCCGUUUAAACAGUAGCUAACACUAUAAUCUCACAGAUGAUCUUAUCAUUCAGAUCCCUGAUCUAUUUCUUUUUUAUAAAUUAUAAUCAAAGCACAUAUAGCUUGUCUAAUUG